rnacentral:rRNA from 1 species
GACGAACGCUGGCGGCGUGCCUAAUACAUGCAAGUCGAACGAGCGGCGGACGGGUGAGUAAUGUAUGGGGACUGCCCGAUAGAGGGUGAUAACUACUGGAAACGGUGGCUAAUACCGCAUACUCUCGGCUAACCCCUAUGGGAUUAGCUAGUAGGUGGGGUAAAGGCUCACCUAGGCCACGAUCUCUAGCUGGUCUUAGAGGAUGAUAGACCAAAUUGGGACUGAGACACGGCCCAGACUCCUACGGAGGCAGCAGUGGGGAAUAUUGCACAAUGGGCUCAAGCCUGAUGCAGCCAUGCCGCGUGGAUGAAGAAGGCCUUAGGGGUGUAAAGUACUUUCAGUGGGGAGGCGUUACCCGCAGAAGAAGCACCGGCUAACUCCGUGCCAGCAGCCGCGGUAAUUC